GUUAUGUUAAUUUUUGGCAGAGGCCCAAACCAAACACGGUUUGGGCCUCUAAUCAGUGCUCUAGAUUCGCAGUGUAUGCGCGCUCGCGCCAGUAUGCUGAGCGUGAAGAGGUGGCAUUGCCUGACGACGGCGAGCUCUACGCUACAGUCUGCCCAUCGAGUAUCGAUCGAUCGUGACAAGCGCGAGACUGCCCGCCGUGCUGCCAUCUUGGGGCGCCGGCUUGCAGCACGGUGUAGUUGCGUGGCCCGCCGUUCGAUGGCAGGACCAGCCGUAAUAGUAACAUGUCUUAACCCAUUGAAGUUCUCACAGUCGCAUCCAUUACGUACUUUGUUUUAUUUACACAGCUGAUAUAUGUGUUGUGGCUUCGUUGCAGAGGAAAUUAUGAAAAUGGGCCACGAGUAGCGGUGUUUUCCUCUCUUAAAUGAGCAGAGUUCCAACAGAACUGGAUAGCUGACUGCAAUACAUCGUGAAAAUUUCCAGGUUACACAGAAUUAGAAGGUCUGCGAGCUCCAUUUCACUGAGGACCUCAUUCUUCGACAGAUCCACAGGACAGAAAUAUUCUGUGCCUCUUCUGAAACCUCGCCUUAAACCAGUAACUGUACCAUUGAUUCUGCCUGUCUGGAGUACCUUUCGUCACCUUCUUGUUCAAUGGAAGUGCGUGGAAAACAGAAACGUAGAACGAGCUAUUGCAGCUAAUGUAACAACUUAUGCCUAUUAUGAACAGGAAAGAUAUUUCGUGGACUUGAAUGGCUUUCUUUAGUACAUGGAGGGGAUCAAGGUGCCUGAAGACUGCGUACUGUAAAGUCAAGAAGUGUCAUUAGUUUUGCUCUA